rnacentral:lncRNA from 1 species
GAGCCGUGGCCAAGAGAUCCGGAAGAGUGACUCGGAUCCAACGGGAGGAAAGGCAACCUACCGAGCCAUCUCCCGUGUCUCCACGACGUGAGGCACGUGCGGAGGCCCCUCCUCCUCCUUCCCCCUCAGUGAUACUUGCAAGAUUUGCGGGGAGGCCGGUUACAACGGGGAGAAGGAUCUAUUCCGAGUUUUUCAAUCAAGAAGGGUUUCGGAUUUGGGAAUGGAUCCAAAGACAAGGUUGGGAGUAUCUUUGCUCCCUAGAUGUGGUAAUCUACCCCGAUUUGGUACAAGAGUUCUAUGCCUUCCUCAAGACUGGUUUGGGAGGGCUUGUUUCAGAAGUUCGAGGGGUUCGGAUCCGAGUAUCCGAGGAGAGCUUGAGUGAGCUACUUCAUCUACCUUGCAUAGGAGCCACUCCGGAAAAGCCAGAAAACAAAAUGAGAGCUCUACAAUUGAUCAUGGAAAAUGAGAACUUCGAUUUCUCCACGAAGGUAAUAGCUAGUUCUCUUUCCGC